rnacentral:lncRNA from 1 species
CCUCCUUCUCGUUCCUCAGUGUGGUUGGUCCAGAUAGCUGCCUUAUCCAACUGCCUCCUUUGGACCACUUCAUCAUGGGAUAGCUUGAUGCAAUCUACUUGACAAGACCCUGGAACCCCACACCCCUCAUGGAACCAGUGUCCACCUCCCAGUCACAGUGUGACCCCAGGGAACUCUUGCCUGCUUGUUUUAAACCCACCACUUAAAAGUCUCCACAGAAAACCUGUUUGAAUAGUACCCUUGACCCAAUAAGGGCAUUGGCCCGUGGGUCUCUCUCUCUCUCUCUCUCCCUCUCUCUCUCUCGCUCCCUGACCUCUGCGUGUGGACUCCAGGCAUGCCAUAUACCCCUCAGGACCUGUAGGAAGCAAGAGAAUGAAUUAAAGAAAACUCCAGAGAAUGAGCUGACAACUUACGCCCUGGUCAGUGGCUCUCCAUGCCUACCUGUGGUCUCUUGGACACCCUUGCAGGUAUGUGGGCAGGGAACUGCAUGUUUAUAGGAAACAGGCCUAGGAUGGAAGGAGUUAAUAGAUCUUCCUCUUCUUGAGUUUGAUG